GUGAAGACUUCUGACAUGCCCUGGAAACAUUUUUCCCAUUGUCUUGGGGAUUAACAUUUGGCUCCUUGUUACUUAUGCAAAUUUCUGCAGCCAGCUUGUAUUUCUCCUCAGAAAAUGAGACUUUCUUUUCUGUCACAUUGUCAGGCUGCAAAUUUUCCAAACUUUUAUGCUGUGUUUUCCUUUUAAAACUGAAUGGUUUUAAGAGCCCUCAAGUCACCUCUCGAAUGUUUUGCUGCUUAGAAAUUUCUUCUGCCAGAUACUCUAAAUCAUCUCUCUCAAGUUCAAAGCUCCACAAAUCUCUAGGUCAGGGGCAAAAUGUUGCCAGUCUCUUUGCUAAAACAUAACAAGAGUCACCUUUGCUCCAGUUCCCAACAAGUUCUUCAUCUUCAUCUGAGAUCACCUCAGCCUGUAUUUCAUUGUCCAUAUCAUUAUCAGCAUUUUGGUAAAAGCCAUUCAACAAGUCCCUACAAACUUACCCACAUUUUCCUGUCUUCUUCUGAGCCCCCCAAACUGUUCCAACCUAUGCCUGGUACCCAGUUCCAAAGUUGCUUCCACAUUUUCAGGUACCUUUUCAGCAGCACCCCACUCUCCUGGUACCAAUUUAUUGUAUUAGUUUGUUUUCACACUGCUGAUAAAGACAUACCCAAGACUGGUCAAUUUACAAAAGAAAGAGAUUUAAUGAAUCUACAGUUCCACGUGGCUGGGAAGGCCUCACAAUAAUGGCAGAAGGUGAAAGGCACAUCUCACAUGGUGGCAGACAAGAGAAGAGAGUUUGUGCAGGAAAACUCUUCUUUAUAAAACCAUCAGGUCUCGUGAGACUCAUUCACUAUCACAAGAAAAGCACAGGAAAGACCUGCCCCCAUAAUUCAAACACCUCCCACUGGGUUCCUCCCAUGACAUGUGGAACUAUGGGAAUUUCUAUUCAAGAUGAGAUUUGGGUGGGGACACAGCCAAGCCAUAUCACUAGUCAUUAAAAAAUUUUUUUUUAAAGAAAGAAAAAAAAAUGGGGGAAGAUUCCCCAUUUCAGAACAGCUUGCUGUUUGGAAAUGAAAAUUCUCUUCAUGUUUACUGUGUGAUUUGUGUUCAUAAAAUUUGAAACAGGUAAACAAAGGAUCCAGGCCACUGUAACAUCAAAGUACAUCAAGUCAAACUGAACAAGGAAGAAAGGAAAGGAAUCGUUGAACCAAAGGAGAAGGACUGGUAUAUAAAUGGAAUCAAGGAGGCAGUGGUGGCUGCAAUCAACGCCUGAAGAUAAAAGCCACAGCACUCAAAUAACAAUCCUCGUUAGAGUGACAAACAGACUGCAGCUCAGGGAAGUCUAACGUUUUAAUUCUCGGAAACAACCCCUUCCUGCUUUUACAUCAUGGAAAACCAUGCCAUACUUGAUUGCUCAAUAAACAUCCUGAAGACUGGAAAAAAUUAUGAAAAAGAAAAGAAUGUCUUCUCAGUGGAGAGAGAGAGGUGAGCUUAAUCAGAGAGCAAGGCUGACUCCCAGUCACCAAUGAGGCAGGUAAAGGCUGAAUAUGUAAGACUGUGCCACGAAUGUUUGAAGUGCAUUCCAUUCAGUUCUCACAGUGUCUUGGAUACGUCGUUGCUACCUGUUUUAUAAAGAAGAAAAUGGAGAUUUAGGGAAGGUAAAGGGGAAACAAAAGAGCAAAGGGAAAAUGCAGCCUGAAAUCAAGUGGAUCUUUGAGUCAGACCCCUCUGUAGGAUAAAGAUUGUGACUAAGAUUGUUAUGGGUGCAUUGGGACAGGGUGUCUGGGAAGUGCUCUGCUCAUGCUAGACUGUCAGAGAACACAGGAUCAGAGCUGUUUUUAGAAAACGAAUUCCAUUUUUUUGCUCUAGUUUUCAAUGCAGAGACUGAAGCCUUCCAGCCUAUAUGUCUCCUGGCACAUGGCCAAGAGUCAGGCUCUCUCUGGGGCUCUGGGGUGUGGCCAGUGCUGUGCUCAGACUCAAGGGGCUGUGGGUCGCCAUGCUCCAGGAGCCAGGCGUGUCUUGCACUUGUGAUUCCCCACACCCAAAGCUCCUCUACCAAGUCUGCAAUGAAAAUUUCAUGCCUCCAGGUGCUGCAUGGAUUAUUCAUGAAGGCUUCAGAGCUGUCGCCAUGGGAGCCAAUUGACUUCAGCGUUGUUAGCAUAUUAAUGACCUACCCUGAUUUAGAGCUGGGUGGGCGGGGACACCACCUGGAUUGUCAGUCACUGGGCCUGGAUCAGCUUUUCCAUUUGCAGAAUAUGUUGUUUGUUAUUUCUUUCCAGACAGGCCCAGGAGUAAUAUUUACCUAAUUGACUAAUCCAAGUAAGCAGGAGGCCCCCUUGCAGCCUCAAAGGGGGUUGGUCUCAGGUCAUAGCCUCCUCCCUUCCUCUCUCCACCCCACAGGCUGGGCUGCUGGGCCAGGCGCCCCAACUGGGGAGACAUUACAUCAGAACGACUAUGUAACCAAGACCAGAUCCCGCAUCAGGCCUGGGCUGCCGAAGCAGCCUCUGGCAUGGCAGGCAGAGGCUGGUAGAUGCUGUGCAGAUGUCAGGUCUAGAGCUGACAGAGAUCCCUGAAAAGCUUUUAGCUACACCCCCUACAUGGGUCAUGGAAAAGUAGUACUAAUGUAUAUCAAUGAUCAUUAAGAAAUGCAUGAGAACUUGCAGAACCCAGCACAGACAGUGCCCAGCUCAGUGGGGGAAGGGUAUCUGGGAAGGGCCCAGCUAAUCCCUGUGCAAAAGCCAUGGCAUGACAACCAGGAGCCAGCAGAGCACCCAGGAGGGAGUCAUGUCUACCUGGAGAGGCCAAGAAGGCUGAUACAGCAUUUGUAGGAGAAGGAUUUAGAUAAUUCCAGAAAGAAGAAAGUGAGCAUUCUCAGCCAAAGAAAAAGCAGUGAAGAGCCCUCUAAUUGGCUCGGGGGAGUGGGGAGGUGUGGCCAUGUCACAGUACAAAGUGAGAAGGAGCAGUGGAGGGUGGAGAAAAACAGGUUUGAGCCUUUCCUUUUCUUUUUUUGAAACAGAGUCUCUCUUUGAAGCCCAGGCUGGAGCGCAGUGGUGCAACCAUAGCUCACUGCAGCCUCAAACUCCUGGUCUCAAGUGAUCCUCCUUCGUCAGCCUCCUGAGUAACUGGGACUACAGGCAUGAGCCGCCAUACCUGGCUAACAUUUCAAAACAGUUUUGUAGAGACAGGGUUUUGUUAUGUUGCUCAGGCUGGUCUUGAACUCCUGACCUCAAGUGAUCCUCCCACCUUGGCCUCCCAAAGUGCUGGGAUUACAGGUGUGAGCCACUGUGCCAGGCCAAGAUUGGGGCCUUUUAUAAGGCUUUGAGUAACAUGUCACAGAGUUGGCCAGGCGUGGCAGCUCAUGCCUGUAAUCCUAGCACUUUGGGAAGCCAAGGUGGGCGGAUUGUCUGAGCUCAGGACUUUGAGACCAGCCUGGGCAACACGGUGAAACCCUGUCUCUACUAAAAUAUAAAAAUUAGCUGGGCGUGGUGGUAUGCGCCUGUAAUCCCAGCUACUAAGGAGGCUGAGACAGGAUAAUCAUUUGAACCCGGGAGGCGGAGGCUGUAGUGAGCCGAGAUUGUGCCACUGUCCUCUAGCCUGGGUGACAGAGUGAGACUCCAUCUCAAAAAAAACAAAACAAAAACAAAACAAAACAAAACAAAAUGUCACAGAGUCUAGUAUUUUUUUCAGUGUGUCAUAAGGAAGUGUCACACUUUUGAGUUGGAAGUGUGGAAGUGACACUCACUCUUCUGAACCCACUAUGGCAAAAGUUACCUCUCCAGUUGGCAGCAGUACCAUGGCUGGCACUUUAUCCACCAAACCAAAACACUGGGGCCUUUCUAGAAGCAUUGCAGAGAAAGGAGAUGCAGGAAGGUAGCUUGGCUUCUCUGCCAUUCUGCACUGCACAAAGAUACCCAGGGUGCCAGAUGACAGGCCUUUUGCAUGAUAUCCCUCAACGCACUUUUUAUGUGUUAGGCUGAUUGUCCCUUGGGCAGCUCAGAGAACUUUAUAGGAAGGACUAUAGGACUUCUCAGGGCUCUGCACUGACUUGGUACUCUUGCAGAUGAAUAUGCUCUGGAAAUCUUAGGCCAGGGUUGGCCAGCAGCCCUUUAGAAACCUUACCUUUCUCAGUAGCCUUCUUCAAACACACACACACGCACACACACCACACACACGCACACACAUGCGCACACGCACACAUGCACACACGCACACACACACGCGCACACACACACG
rnacentral:lncRNA from 1 species